rnacentral:lncRNA from 1 species
AAAUGUAAAAUAUAGAUAUUAUGCAAAUAGAAAGUAUAAGAAAAGGAAAUACACAAUUUAAAAAAAUGGAAAAAGUACAUUAGUAUUUAAACAUCUAUCUUAAAAUGUAAAUCAAUCUUAAAAUAUAAAAUUAUUAGUAAAUAGAAAGUAUAAGAAAUAUAUAUUUCUAAUAUAAAGAAAAAUCAAUAAUAAGUAAAUAUAAAAUAUAAUCCCGAAAGAUGACACGUGGCAUAAAAUAUAGUUUUACAUUUUAAUAUUAUUUAUUUUCGAAAAAUAUAAAAAUAUGUAAACAUACAGCAUAAAAAAAUAGAAAAACUACAUUAAACAUAUGUAUAAUUACUAUUUUUCACUUAAAAAAAAAGACGGCUUAUCUCCAUAAUGUAAC